rnacentral:rRNA from 1 species
ACGUAGAGGGCAAGCGUUGUCCGGAAUUACUGGGCGUAAAGGGUACGCAGGCGGAUAUAUAAGUCAAAUGUGAAAGGCACCGGCUCAACCGGUGAGCGGCAUUUGAAACUGUAUAUCUUGAGUUCAGGAGAGGAGAGCGGAAUUCCUGGUGUAGCGGUGGAAUGCGUAGAUAUCAGGAAGAACACCAGUGGCGAAGGCGGCUCUCUGGCCUGAAACUGACGCUCAGGUACGAAAGCUGGGGGAGCGAACGGGA